UAAGGGGGUUAUACUGGGAGUGCUCCACCUGUUUCCAUACCGAACACAGAAGUGAAAUCUCCCGAGGUUGAUGAUAGUGCUAUUUUGCGCGAAAGUAGAUAGCCCCCCUAC
rnacentral:rRNA from 1 species